rnacentral:rRNA from 1 species
AGAAUCAACGCUGGCGGCGUGCCUAACACAUGCAAGUCGCACGAGAAAGGGGAGCAAUCCCUGAGUAAAGUGGCGCACGGGUGAGUAACACGUGAAUAAUCUACCUCCGAGUGGGGAAUAACUGAGAGAAAUCUUAGCUAAUACCGCAUAACACUUACGAGUCAAAGCAGCAAUGCGCUUGGAGAGGAGUUCGCGGCCGAUUAGUUAGUUGGCGGGGUAAUGGCCCACCAAGACGAUGAUCGGUAUCCGGCCUGAGAGGGCGCACGGACACACUGGAACUGAAACACGGUCCAGACUCCUACGGGAGGCAGCAGUGGGGAAUUUUGCGCAAUGGGGGAAACCCUGACGCAGCAACGCCGCGUGGAGGAUGAAGCCCCUUGGGGUGUAAACUCCGUUUCGAUUCGGGAAGAUAAUGACGGUACCGAUAUAAGAAGCCCCGGCUAACUUCGCGCCAGCAGCCGC